rnacentral:rRNA from 1 species
UACGUAGGGGGCUAGCGUUGUCCGGAUUUAUUGGGCGUAAAGAGCGUGUAGGCGGCCAGAUAGGUCUGGUGUGAAAACUCGAGGCUUAACCUCGAGAUGUCAUCGGAAACCAUCUGGCUAGAGUCCGGAAGAGGAGAGUGGAAUUCCUGGUGUAGCGGUGAAAUGCGCAGAUAUCAGGAAGAACACCAUGGCGAAAGCGGCCACCUGGACUGCACCUGACGCUGACACGCGAAAGCUAGGGGAGCGAACGGG